UGGGGAAUCAUGGUCAAUGGGCGAAAGCCUGAACCUGCGACGCCGCGUGAGUGAUGAAGGUCGUAAGAUCGUAAAACUCUUUUCAGGGAUCUUAAAGCCUGUCUGUCAACAACAGGCAGGUCUGACUCUCCCUGGAAGAAGCCCCAGCCAACUACGUGCCAGCAGCUGCGGUAAUACGUAGGGGGCGAGCGUUAUUCGGAAUUACUGGGUGUAAAGGGUAUGUAGGCGGCCCUUCAAGUCGCGUGUCAAAGUCCAGUGCUCAACGCUGGGUGUGCACGCGAUACUGACGGGCUUGAUGGCUGGAGAGGUGAGCGGAAUUCCCGGUGUAGUGGUAAAAUACGUAGAGAUCGGGAGGAACACCAGCGGCGCAGGCGGCUCACUAUACAGUUUCUGGCGCUAAGAUACGAAAGCGUGUGGAGCAAACA
rnacentral:rRNA from 1 species